rnacentral:lncRNA from 1 species
GCCUCUGCCCCGCACUGGGGGUCCGUUCUUUGAAGAGGACACUCCAUCCCCUGCCUCCACUCCCUGACAGAGCCUCCCUCCCAGGCCUGCACGGCUGAGGGAACAACAGCGAGAGGAAGAGGGUUCCUAAAUGCCCCCCAGGGAAGGAGGCAAGGGCAGAAUCAGGAACCAAUAAGAGCAGGCGCCCCGAGACCAGGCGAACGCGUACAACCCACCCAAGCCUACAAACUACGUUUCCCCAGAAAGCAGUGCGCACACGGCAGUCACACCCGCCCCUCCCUGGGCUACCAUGGAAACCUCGAUGGACGCCUCGGAUGCUCUCACGUGACUUCCGCUUCCUCCUCUCAGUUUUCCGCCCGCCUGCGCAUCUGGGCCGUCCUGGCUCUAGCGGCUCCCGGUAGGAGUCGUCUGGAGACCCCGCGACCCUGCGAUCCUGCCCAAUGCCCUUUGCGCCCGUCGCCCCCCUCCCCAAUUAGCGGCGAAGGGUCUGCUCUUAGAACGCUUCGGCGAGGGGCGGAGAGGCUGCUUGUGAUGCCCCCCCUACUGAGUACCUUUGUAGCCAAUCAGCUGAGCCCACUUCUUCUUCAGGAGGAGUGACCUUUGGAAAAGAAGAAAUGGUCCCUGUACUGACAGCAAGGGCCCAACAGGUAGGUGGAGUUCCUGUUUCUUAUGGGAGGGAAGAGCAGCCCACUUUCAGACUGUAGUGCCUUUCAUGAUUGAAAGGGUCAAGGAUUAAAACAAACCUGAGAUUGGCCUUUGAAGAAUACUAUGUGCACAAACAAAGCCAAUGCAUCUAAAAUUAAAAUGAAUACGAGAAACUGAGGGGGACUUUUUUUUUUACAGGAAAUUUUUCCGAUAAAAGUCUGAUUUCUCAAAUAUAUAGGGAAUUGAGCCAAAUUUGUUUUGUAAGAGCCAUUCCCCAGUUGAUAAAUGAUCAAAAGAUACAAACAGGCAGUUUUCAGAAGAGAUCACAGCUAUCAGUAGCUACAUGAAAAAAUGCUCUAAAUGAUAUCGAUUAGAAAAAAACAAUGACUCCAAAGUAUCACCUCACACUUGUCAGAAGUGACAGAUGCUGGAGGGGUUAAUGAUUGUGGAGUUGUGAAUUGGUCCAACCAAUUUGGCAAGCAGUUUGGAACUAUGCCUCACUGCUAGGUCUGUGUCCCAAAGAAAUCAAAAGAGAGAGAAAAGAACCUAGUUGUACAAAAAUAUUCGUAGCAGCUCUUUUUGUGGUUGCAAAGAAUUGGAAAUUGAGGGGAUGCCCAUCAUUUGGGGCAUGGCAGAAUAAGUUGUAGUAUAUGAUUGUGAUGGCAUACUGUUGUGCUAUAUAAGAAAUGACAAGCAGGCUGGUUUCAGAAAAACCUGGGAAGACUUGUACAAUCUGAUGCAGAGUGAAGUGAGCAGAACCAGUGCGGUAUACUGCCGUACACAGGAACAGCAGCAUUGUAACGAUGGUUGAUUGUGAAAGACUGGACUCUUCUGAUGGAUACAGUGAUCCACCACGAUUCCAAGGAGUCAGUAUGAAAAUGUUCUCCGCCUCCAGGAAGAGAGAGAAGUGUUGGAAUCUGAGGGCAGGUGGAAGCAGGCUCUUUCUCUGGAGAUGCAACUAAUACAGAAAUCCGUUUUGCAUGAUUUCACAUAUGUGAUAGGUAUCCUGUUGCUUGCCUUUCUUUAUUAUCUGCAAUAGAGUCUGAGGCUCAAAAUUCUGAACGUAAUGACUUAUUUCUUUUCAAGGCAAGCAGUUGCCAACAAGUCAAGUCAUCUGAUUUCUCAGUACUCAGACAAAGGAGUGAUUUACAGAGCUUACUUUUAUAGUAGGAAAAAGGGAAUCACAAGUUACAGGUGCCUUGAGAAAUUUGUUUUGAAUAUAAUUCAAUUUGAUGAGGUAAGUCACCUGAUCUGUGGUUGGGCCCAGCACAUCCAGGAACAGUAUGGGUGUAACUCGUUCUUAUUGCUGACAUUUGGGGCAUGGAUAUAACAGGGUGUUUUGGGCAGAGUGGGAGCGGGACACUCUCUAGAUUCAUUAUUCUAUUGGCCAUCCAUCGUCCUGUUCAUUGGGGUGAUUGCCCUAGCUGGAAAGUUACAGCUGAGGUAUAGGUGGUCUGGAGUGUGGGAAAGUGAGGAUGGGUCUGUGCCAACCUCAGCUCUGCAAAAGCAGGAGGUUACCCUGGCUGACAAAAAGAGGGACACAGCUCCUGACAGAAAAUUCUCUUUAUAGCUAGCUUAAUAAUACUGUGAUUGCAUAUGUCUUCAUCUAAAAGCUGUCUGAAUUAGACCUUAUAAACUAAAAUAAAUCAUCAGGAUAAUCAAUACUAACUUGAUUA